AUGAGUGGUGUUUGGUUUGAUACGGGUGGUCGGCUCCCUGCUUGAGCAGGCACGGCCAUGCGUGCAUUCCUUUUCAGUUGUGCGGCAAGGCUUGUAUCGUCUUGAUCGUAUAAGUGGGUUUCUUGUGUUGCAUACCUGAUCAAUGGCAUCGUUUUGAUCAAAAUGGUACCUUUUUCGUCUGACGAUGCACUUAUUGUGUUGUCGGAUGAACCGUGUAGCAUCCUCUUUGAUCCAUACAGUUGACGUGUACUCGUUGAUUGUUUGGCCCGUUGAGGGUGACUUGGUCUCUCGGAUAUGGAAGCCAAAGUGGGCAUGGGUUUGCAAGAUCCCUUUAUUGCCCUCAUUGAGCGUUCUCGCUUCUCUUACACGACUGCCUUUCACGUAUGGCACGUCCCAGCGUGUUUGGCUAUGUCGAAGAGGAAU
rnacentral:misc_RNA from 1 species